AUUAGCUAGUUGGUGGGGUAAUGGCCUACCAAGGCGACGAUGGUUAGCUGGUCUGAGAGGAUGAUCAGCCACACUGGAACUGGAACACGGUCCAGACUCCUACGGGAGGCAGCAGUGGGGAAUUUUCCGCAAUGGGCGAAAGCCUGACGGAGCAACGCCGCGUGAGGGAUGAAGGCCUCUGGGCUGUAAACCUCUUUUCUCAAGGAAGAAGAUCUGACGGUACUUGAGGAAUAAGCCACGGCUAAUUCCGUGCUAGCAGCCGCGGUAAUACGGGAGUGGCAAGCGUUAUCCGGAAUUAUUGGGCGUAAAGCGUCCGCAGGCGGCCCUUCAAGUCUGCUGUUAAAAAGUGGAGCUUAACUCCAUCAUGGCAGUGGAAACUGUUGGGCUUGAGUGUGGUAGGGGCAGAGGGAAUUCCCGGUGUAGCGGUGAAAUGCGUAGAUAUCGGGAAGAACACCAGUGGCGAAGGCGCUCUGCUGGGCCAUAACUGACGCUCAUGGACGAAAGCCAGGGGAGCGAAAGGGAUUAGAUACCCCUGUAGUCCUGGCCGUAAACGAUGAACACUAGAUGCCGG
rnacentral:rRNA from 1 species